rnacentral:rRNA from 1 species
UACAGAGGGUGCAAGCGUUGUUCGGAAUUAUUGGGCGUAAAGGGCUCGUAGGCGGUCUGUCACGUCGGGAGUGAAAACUCAGGGCUUAACCCUGAGCCUGCUUCCGAUACGGGCAGACUAGAGGUAUGCAGGGGAGAACGGAAUUCCUGGUGUAGCGGUGAAAUGCGCAGAUAUCAGGAAGAACACCAAUGGCGAAGGCAGCUCUCUGGGACGGUACUGACGCUGAGACGCGAAAGCGUGGGGAGCGAACAGG